GCCCCCGUGGCCUAAUGGUUAAGGCGUGUGACUUCUACCUUCUUAGAGAAGUGUAAUCCCAAGAUUCAGAGUUCGAAUCUCUGCGGGGGCU